GAUGAACGCUGGCGGCGUGCCUAAUUCAUGCCAGUCGAGCGAACGGACGAGAAGCUUGCUUCUCUGAUGUUAGCGGCGGACGGGUGAGUAACACGUGGAUAACCUACCUAUAAGACUGGGAUAACUUCGGGAAACCGGAGCUAAUACCGGAUAAUAUUUUGAACCGCAUGGUUCAAAAGUGAAAGACGGUCUUGCUGUCACUUAUAGAUGGAUCCGCGCUGCAUUAGCUAGUUGGUAAGGUAACGGCUUACCAAGGCAACGAUGCAUAGCCGACCUGAGAGGGUGAUCGGCCACACUGGAACUGAGACACGGUCCAGACUCCUACGGGAGGCAGCAGUAGGGAAUCUUCCGCAAUGGGCGAAAGCCUGACGGAGCAACGCCGCGUGAGUGAUGAAGGUCUUCGGAUCGUAAAACUCUGUUAUUAGGGAAGAACAUAUGUGUAAGUAACUGUGCACAUCUUGACGGUACCUAAUCAGAAAGCCACGGCUAACUACGUG
rnacentral:rRNA from 1 species